GAUGGACGCUGGCGGCGUGCUUAACACAUGCAAGUCGAACGGAAAGGCCCAAGCUUGCUUGGGUACUCGAGUGGCGAACGGGUGAGUAACACGUGGGUGAUCUGCCCUGCACUUCGGGAUAAGCCUGGGAAACUGGGUCUAAUACCGGAUAGGACCACAUUUUGGAUGGUGUGGUGGAAAGUUUUUCGGUGUGGGAUGAGCUCGCGGCCUAUCAGCUUGUUGGUGGGGUAAUGGCCUACCAAGGCGUCGACGGGUAGCCGGCCUGAGAGGGUGUACGGCCACAUUGGGACUGAGAUACGGCCCAGACUCCUACGGGAGGCAGCAGUGGGGAAUAUUGCACAAUGGGCGCAAGCCUGAUGCAGCGACGCCGCGUGGGGGAUGACGGCCUUCGGGUUGUAAACUCCUUUCGCUAGGGACGAAGCGUUAUGUGACGGUACCUGGAGAAGAAGCACCGGCUAACUACGUG
rnacentral:rRNA from 1 species